UUUGAUUCCAUCUUCGUUUCCAAUGGAAGAAAAACAAGAACCUCACAUAGCAGUAGUUCCAAGCCCAGGCUUCACCCACCUUGUCCCAAUCCUUGAAUUCUCAAAACGUCUCCUCCAUCUCCACCCAGAUUUUCACAUCACCUGCAUCAUCCCCUCCGUUGGUUCACCCUCAUCUUCCACCAAAUCCUACCUCCAAACUCUUCCUCCAUCCAUCACUCCCAUUUUCCUUCCUCCCAUCACUCUCCAACCACCUACAGAUGCAGCACUCCUUGCAGUCCAAAUCGAACUCUCAGUCACCCUAUCUCUCCCUCUCAUCAAACAAGAACUCAACUCCCUGUGUUCAAGAACCAGGGUUGUAGCUUUAGUUGUAGACAUUUUUGCACAUGAAGCAAUGGAUUUCGCCAAGGAGCUGAAUCUGUUGUCUUAUAUAUACCUCCCACAAGCUGCUAUGAUGCUUUCUAUGUACUUCAACUCAACAAAGCUAGAUGAGAUUAUCUCAGAGUCAAGAGAUCUUGAAGAUGCUAUAGAUUUACCUGGUUGUGUAGCUUUACGCAUAAAGGAUCUCCCUCUUCCAUUUCAACUUCGAUCCGGUGCAGGUUACGAGAGAUUUCUUGAACGUGGCAAACGGGUUGUUCAUGUCCCUGAUGGGGUGUUUGUGAACACCUUCACUGAAUUGGAAGCAGGGGUUGGGGAGAUUUUGCAAGAUCAUAAAGAAGGGAGGCCACAAGUUUAUCCAGUAGGACCCAUUAUUCAGAGUGGUUCAACUGGUAAUGAAAAUGGGUUGGAGUGUUUGAAAUGGUUGGAUAAGCAAGAACCAAGGUCUGUUCUCUAUGUUUCAUUUGGAAGUGGAGGAACACUUUCUCAAGAACAGUUCAAUGAAUUGGCAUAUGGGUUGGAGCUGAGUGGUGAAAAGUUUCUGUGGGUUGUGAGAGCACCAAACCGUGUGGCGAGUGCUACUUACUUUGAUGCUAAAUUUGAGGACCCUCUGCUGUUUUUGCCAAAUGGGUUCUUGGAGAGAACCAAGGAGAGAGGGUUGGUUGUUCCUUCAUGGGUGCCACAGGUUCAGGUGCUUGGACAUGGUUCUACUGGUGGAUUCUUAUCACACUGUGGUUGGAAUUCUGUGCUUGAGAGUGUGGUCCAGGGUGUGCCGGUUAUCGCGUGGCCGCUUUUCGCUGAGCAGAGCUUGAAUGCGGCGUUGUUGUCUGGUGGUCUGAAAGUGGCGUUGAGGCCAAAGGUUAGCGAUGGUGGGUUGGUUGAAAGGGGAGAAAUUGCUAAGGUUGUGAAGGGUUUGAUGGAUGGUGAAGAAGGUGUGGAGAUUAGGAGGAGGAUGGAGGAUUUGAAGAAUGCGGCAGGUAAUGCGAUUAAAGAAGGUGGUUCAUCUACAAUGGCUCUAGCAGAGGUGGCUGCGAAGUGGAGACACAUUUAAUGUAAGAUUAAGUCAUAAACAGGUUUUCACAGUGUAUGUAUUGUUGGUUAUUUGGCAAAUGAUUCGUUUGAUAUGUUGUAUAAUACUCCAAGCAUGAUAAUAUUAGACCUAAUUGUAUUAUGUAUUAGGGGUGUACAUGAGUCGGGUAGAUCCAAUUAACCCGCCCGAACAAACUCAAUCCAAUAAAAAAAAUGCGGGUUGGAUUGGGCUAACAGAUCAAUCGGACGGAUUUUAUUACAAUCUAAUCAACUUCGGAUCGGAUACCGGAUUUAAGAAUAAUCCACUUAAUCCAACCCGAAAUCCAAACAUAGAAUAAUAAUAUUAUUUAAUAUAUAUUUUUAAUAAUUUUACCUAACAUACAUGUAAAAUUCUAAACCCUUAUUUUAUUUCACUUUUCACAUUUUUCACUUUUUGUUUCAAUUUUAUUUGGCAUGUCGGAGAAUGGAGACAAUUAAAUUCUAUGUGUCAUGACAUUGUCGUAUUGAUUAACUUGAUUUCAUUGCCGCAGUUGUUUUUCAUGGUAUUUUGCUAUAUGUCAUUUAUGAAAUACUAUUUCAUGCUAUUUAGUACAAUGUUUUGUGUAGGGUUCGGAUCAUGAUUAGUCUGUAAAUCCAUCCAACCAACCCAUGUGCACCUCUAUUAUGUAUGAUAGGAUAAGGUCUGAUAAAAAUUUAAUAUUACACAUCGUUUAGUGAUACACUGUCUAACUUAUCAUAUCAUUUAAAUCGAUACAAUCAUAUUUUUGGUGGAUGGUAAUGGUGGUGGUGGUGGUAGAGAUGACGAUGGUGGCAGCAACGGUAAAAGGUAUGGGGUAGUUGUGGCGGUAUAGGUGGCGACGACAGUUGUGGUGGGUGGUGACGGUAAGUGGUAGUGGUGGUGGCGAUGGUGUUGGUGGAGAGCUGUUGAAGCGAUCGUGAGGGGAUGAUGGUGGUGACAGCAGUAGUGGCAAUAGGUGGUGGUGGUACAGGGCACCGGGUUCCGACGGGUAGAGCAACAGAGCAAGGAAGUUGUCACGCGGUAGUGUCCCUUGCUUUUCAAAUGGAGGAAGCAGUUUCAGAAAUUGCAGAGUUUUUCAGAAGGAGAAAAUUGUCAUGUGAUGGCUAAUUUAAUAGUCAUGACCAUUAGUUUUUAAAGAAAUUGAUGGUUAUGAUUAGGAGUAAUUUUGGAGAAUAACUUUUGGAAGUGGAGCUCUCCUUAUCAUUAUAAUGAAGUCAAACUUUAAAAUUAAAAAAUUCUUUAUGAUUAUUUAUUGGCUGAGAGAGACAUUAGUGGCAGUAGAGAAAUUCCUCUUUUCCCUUGCUCACCACGAAUAAUAGUCUCUUGCCCAUGACCCAUGUUAAUCACCUACCCCGCCAUCGUCAAACUUCAAAAAUAGAAAAUGUAAGCCGUGAGACAACAAUUCUCAUAUGUUGAAGUUCAUCCCUAUGACCAUUCCUUCAAAUUUUCAACAAACGAAAACAACCAUCACAAAUAUUAGAAAAAAAAAAAACAAGCCAAUUUCAUUCCAUCUUCCUUUCCAAUCACUUCAAUUCAAUGGAAAAUCAAAAACCUCACAUAGCAGUAGUUCCCAGCCCAGGCUUCACCCACCUUGUCCCAAUCCUUGAAUUCUCAAAACGCCUUCUCCAUCUCCACCCAGAAUUUCACAUCACCUGCAUCAUCCCCUCCACUGCUUCACCCUCAUCUUCCACCAAAUCCUACCUCCAAACCCUUCCUCCGACCAUCACUCCCAUUUUCCUCCCUCCCAUCACCCUCCAACAACCUGCAGAUGCAUCACUCCUCGCUGUGCAAAUUGAACACUCAGUCACCCUUUCUCUCCCUCACAUCAAACAAGAGUUAAUAUCCCUAUGCUCAAGAACCCGAGUUGUAGCUUUGGUUGUAGACAUAUUCGCACAUGAAGCAAUGGAUUUCGCGAGGGAGCUGAAUCUUUUGAGUUAUAUAUACCUCCCACUAGCUGCUAUGGUGUUUUCUAUGUACAUCAACACAACAAAGCUAGAUGAGAUUCUCUCCUCCGAGUCAAGAGAUCCAGAAGAUGCUAUAGAAUUGCCUGGUUUUGUAGCUUUACGUAGAAAGGAUCUCCCUCUUCCAUUUCAAUUUCGAAUCGGCAUAGGUUACGAGCAAUUCCUUAAACGUGGCAAACGGGUUAUUCAUCUCCCUGAUGGAGUUUUUGUGAACAGCUUCACUGAAUUGGAACCACGGGUUAUUCAGUUCUUGCAAGAUCAAAACAAAGGGAGGCCACAAGUUUAUCCAGUAGGACCCAUUAUUCAGAUUGGAUCAAUUGGUCAAGAAAAUGGGUUGGAGUGUUUGAAAUGGUUGGAUAAGCAAGAACCAAGGUCUGUUCUCUAUGUUUCAUUUGGAAGUGGAGGAACACUUUCUCAAGAACAAUUCCAUGAACUGGCUUAUGGGUUGGAGCUGAGUGGUGAAAACUUUCUCUGGGUUGUGAGAGCUCCAAAUUGUGUGGCGAGUGCUACUUACCUUGAUGCUGAAUUUGAAGACCCUCUUCAGUUCUUGCCAAAUGGGUUCUUGGAGAGAACCAAGGAGAGAGGGUUGGUUGUUCCUUCAUGGGUGCCUCAGGUUCAGGUCCUUGGACACAGUUCCACUGGUGCAUUCUUAUCUCAUUGUGGUUGGAAUUCGGUUUUGGAGAGCGUAGUCCACGGUGUGCCGGUGAUCGCGUGGCCGCUUUUCGCUGAGCAGGGCUUGAAUGCGGCGAUACUAGGUGAUGAUGGCCUGAAAGUGGCUCUAAGGCCUAAAGUUAACAGUGGUGGAUUGGUGGAAAGAGGAGAGAUUGUUAAGGUUGUGAAGGGUUUGAUGGAAGGUGA
rnacentral:lncRNA from 1 species